AUACUCGCUUCGGCAGCACAUAUACCAAUAUUGGAACGAUUCAGGGAAGAUUAGCACGGCUCCUGCACAAGGAAGACAUAGGAACUGGGCUGUCUUU
rnacentral:snRNA from 1 species